AUUGAACGCUGGCGGCAGGCCUAACACAUGCCAGUCGAACGAGCGGCGGACGGGUGAGUAAUGUCUGGGCAACUGCCCGAUGGCGGGGGAUAACUACUGGCAACGGUGGAUAAUACCGCAUACCCACGGAUGUGCCCAGAUGGGAUUCGCUAGUAGGUGGGGUAACGGCUCACCUAGGCGACGAUCCCUAACUGGUCUGAGCGGAUGACCAGCCAAACUGGAACUGAGACAGGGUCCAGACGCCUACGGGAGGAAGCAGUGAGGAAGAUUGCACAAUGGGGGAAACCCUGAGGCAGCAACGCCGCGUGCGGGAUGACGGCCGUCGGGUUGUAAACCGCUUUCAGCCAUGACGCGGUAGUGGCAGAAGAAGCACCGGCUAACUACGUGCCAGCAGGCGCGGUAAUAA
rnacentral:rRNA from 1 species